rnacentral:lncRNA from 1 species
ACUAUUGGUCUUAUCCUCCACUCUGCACUUUUAACACCAUACUUUUCAUGGAAAUAAACUCAUCGUCGUCACCACUCCAACACUAGUUCCCUUGAGUAUGAUGAAGUGUAUGUGCCAAGCCUAAAAUCCCAAGUAACGUGGCUCACCAAGUAUUUGAACAAAAAUCCACUAGGACGAGUAUUCGGACUUGCCACCACCCUCAAUCUUGGGUGGCCUUUGUACUUGGCCUUCAAUGCCUCUGGCAGAACUUAUCCUCGCUAUGCAAGUCACUAUCAUCCACAUGGACCGAGUUAUUAUGAUCGCGAGAGGCUACAAAUCUAUACUUCAGAUGCAGGUGUGAUUGCAACUACUUAUGUGUUGUAUCGCAUUGCUUUGGCACAAGGGCUAACUUGGCUUGUAUGUAUCUAUGGAGUGCCCCUCCAAAUUAUGAACAACUUCAUCGUGUUAAUCACUCUCUUGAACCAUACUCACUCUUCCGUGCCACAUUAUGAUUCAUCAGAGUGGGAUUGGCUAAGAGGAGCUCUAGCUACGGUAGACAGAGACUUUGGUGUACUAAAUAAGGUCUUCCACCACAUUCCAGAUACUCACGUUUUGCAUCAUCUAUUCUCAACGAUUCCACAUUACCACGGACUCGAGGCAACCAGAGCUAUCAAGCCAUUACUAGGAGAAUACUACCAAUUUGAUAGUACCCCUUUUUAUAAGGCAUUAUGGAGGGAUUAUAAGGAGUGCAUCUAUGUAGAAAAGGAUGAAAGAUUUCAAGAUAGAGGUAUUUUUUGGUAUAAAAACGAGAUGAAUUAAAAAUCGAUUUGGAUAACAUGAGUCACAAUAAGUAUUUUGAACUGAGGUCUCUUUAUAGUUUGUUAGGAUUGUUGUUUCCUAUCGUUCUAUUAUGUAUUGUUUUCAUACCGUACUAUAUUUGUAUUACAUUAUGUGAUUGAAAUACAAUGUUUUGAGUGAAUGUUUGAAAAAUCAACUUGAAGUAUAUUAAGAGGCUUGCUCAGUAAAUAGCAUCAUUGUAUGUAUGGGGUUAAUAAUGAAGGAAUCUAAACCACAUGGAGCCAUCAAGAAUACAUAUGGCCUCUUUAGUUUACUACUAGUUUAUACGAAUUUAUUUUCAGAUCUAAUCAACCUCCAAAUUAAGGAUGCAAGGGGAAUUUUUUUCCAUACUUAAUCAGAGGUCUCGAGUUUGAGCUAUGAGAAUAGAGAAAUUCUUGAUAAGGAACGCUUCUAAGUUAAAUGGAUGGUAGUGAGCCUGGGAAUCUAGAUUAGUCAAAACCGAGUUCCGAAUAUCAGAUGGUAAAUUAAAAAAGAAAAAAGAGUUGGCCAGACCUCUAUUUUUCUAUAAAGAAGAGAGAACUCUCUAACUUUCAGGUAAGGCUAAAAGGUGUGUUUUGAACUUUUGAGGUAUUUCCCUUUUUACCAAAAACCUAUCUUUACUCUCAUUUUCUUGUUCUAUUUACUAGUACUAUUUUUCGACUUCUCACAACAAAUUUAAUUGUUGCUUUCUCAGGUUUGAAGACAAAAAUGGGAGGCGGUGGCAAUAUGUUUGCUCCAACAGCUAAACAGAACAAAGAAAAAUCCUCUCGAAAGAGUGCCAAGUUCAAAGUCCCCUUUUACAGUUGGUGAUAUCAAGAAGGCUAUCCCACCUCACUGCUUUCAUCGAUCUCUCAUUCGCUCCUCCUCCUAUCUUGUUCAAGAUCUCAUGCUUGUCUCCGUCUUUUAUUAUAUUGCCUCCUCUUACUUCCACAUCCUUCCAUCACCGUAUUAUUAUUUCAUGGAUUGUUCAAGGUUGUGUUUGCACCGGAAUAUGGGUCAUUGCCCAUGAAAUGUGGCCAUCAGGCAUUUAGUGAUUACCAGUGGAUAAAUGACACUGUCGGUUUUUAUCUUCCACUCUGCACUUUUAACACCAUAUUUCUCAUGGAAAUAUAGUCAUCGUCGUCACCACUCCAACACUAAUUCCCUUGAGCAUGAUGAAAAUCAUAUGCCAAAGCUUAAAACCAAACUUAGAUGGUACACCAAAUUAUACAUGAAUAAUCCACUAGGACGAUUACUCAUACUUGCCUUCACCCUCACUGCUGGCAUGCCUUUGUACUAUGCCAUCAAUAUAGCUGGUAGACCUUAUGAUCGCUUUGCAAGUCAUUAUGAUCCAUAUAGCCCUAUUUACAAUGAUCGUGAGAGACUACAAAUCUACAUUUCAGAUGCAGGUCUGAUUGCAACUAUUUAUGUAUUGUAUCGCGUUGCUCUGACACAAGGGCUAACUUGGGUUGUAUGCAUCUAUGGGGUGCCCUUACUAAUUGUGAUCGGGUUCAUGGUGUUAAUAACUUUACUACAUCACACUCAUGCUUCAUUGCCACAUUAUGAUUCAUCGGAGUGGAGUUGGCUAAGAGGAGCUCUAGCUACAGUAGAUAGAGACUAUGGGGUUCUAAAUAAGGUGUUUCAUCAUAUAGUAGAUACACACGUUCUACAUCAUCUAUUUUCAAGUAUACCACAUUAUCAUGCUAUGGAGGCAACCAAGGCCAUCAAGCCAUUACUAGGAGAAUAUUAUCAAUUUGAUGGAACUCCAUUUUACAAAGCAAUAUGGAGGGAUUUUGAGUGCAUCUACGUCGAGAAAGAUGAUGAAGCAUCUCAGGGAAAGGGUAUUUUCUGGUAUAAAAACAACUUCUAAAUUUGAAAUAGCAAUAAAAGGCUAAAUGUUCAGCCUAAGUAUUGUGGAUUGUGUCUUUUCAUAGUAUUGUAUUUGUAGUGUUACUUUAGAUUUAUUGUUAAGCAUCUAAGAAAAUGUCUUUUUUAUGAAUGUAAACAAGCAACAACAGGGGUUGUUUAGGCGGUAAACACCCUCGAGGCCCCGAGGAGCAAAAAAACAAUUUAUGCAAAUACAUUGUUAAGAAUCGCAACCACGAAGCAUAAUCCAUCAUAUCAAGCCAGAAAUGAGGGAUAUAUACAAGCAAAUUAAACUUCUAAUAUACAUAUAUAUCCCACAUAUUAGAUAUAAACUGAAUGAAUACAUACUACAACAAAGAGACAUUUAGUGGCAACAUAUUACACCUUUAGUGACAAUAUUUACUGCCGCAAGAAUAUAUAAUUUCAAUUGAGUUAAUGUCAUUAUAUCAUGUGUCGUUAAAGUCUUUAGCAACAUUUACAUAGAGUGUUGAUUAAUUAUAAAACUCAUACUAUUAUUGGCGCUAAAUGUAAUAAUGUAGAGAUAGUUAUAUUAUCAUCGUCAUAAUUGUUGCCGGCAAAAAUAUUGUUGUAACAGUGUACAAGACUAUAUUUUUAAACAACUCACCCCUUCACUAAAUUAUAAUUCUUGAAUCUUUUUUUUUAAUUAUAUAAAUCAAAUAUAUUUUAAUUUUAGGAAUUUUAAACAAUAUCCUUCUCCCAAUUUUAAUAAUUAAAUGACAAACCUAUUUCAUUGUUUAAUAUAGCAUGGGUAAUAAAUAAUUCAUAUGCAAAAAUAAAAUAAUAUAAUCUUUGUCCUCAACUCGAAAACGUAUUUUUUAUGAUGUCUAGGCGUGCACUGGACAGGAACAACAUGAAAUAAUUAUUUUUAUCAAUAUAUUACUCUACUAAAUUAUUAACCUAUAGACACCACCACGUGAAUUCAGUCGAGUAGUUAGUUCUAGUAUUAGCGCCUCAUAUAUAGAAAUAGAAUAUAAUAAUAACUAAAGUUAAACGAUUAAAAAAAUAUAUAUUUUAAAAAACGCACUUGUUAUAUAAUUAUUAAAAGAUAAAUAUUUUGGCAUUACCAGCUUAAGUGAUCCACUAAACAAGCCAAUCAUAUGAAGUUGAAGCAUCUGGUUGCUCAAUGGAUAAGUUAAAAUUAAGUAUUAGUACAUUUUAAUUAAACUGACAGUUUAAAGUUUAUAUAUCUCUAUAUAUUUUGCCAUUGUGGGAGCUCUAACUUUAUUCCAUUUUUGGAUAUUACACAAUACUAAGGUCAUUUUGUUUAGAGAAAUUUUUCGUAAAUAGUGAUAUUUGCACUUAUGGAAAAUAGCAAGGUUUUAUUUAAUUACAAAACGUCUAGUCAUAAUUUGGUAUCAAAAUGUUGCGGAAUACAUUGAAUUUACAUUGAACACUGUAAAUGUGGGAUCACAUAAUAAUGACACGAUGGUAUAAUUUUUGUUUAUAUCAACAUAUAUAAUUUAAACUCUGUUUUAUAAUAUUAUUUAUCUACAUUAAUAGGUAAUUACUUAUAAUAAACAUGGUUAUAAUAAUGAUGGAACUGGAAUCUAAAGCACAUGGUCAAAAUCACUAGGGGACAAUUAUCAAUUAUUAUUAUUAUUAUUAUUAUCAAUUAUUAUUAUUAUUAUUAAUAUUAUUAUCAAUUAUUAUUAUUAUUAUUAUUAUUUAUUAUUUAUUAUUAUUAUUAUAUUAUUAUUAUUAUUAUUAUUAUUAUUAUUUUGGCCCCAUAUCUGAAUCUGUACUUCAUUACUCCUAUUUCUUAAAUAACUCUACCUGCCGUGUCAUUUAUUGAUCUCCCAUUAUUAAUGAACCAAUAAAAUUAGGCAAGCCAGUAGCAAAUACAUUUUGGUAUAUGGAGUACUACAAAACAUUUUCCUGUUUUUGGUUGUUUUACAUUUCUUUUUAAUAUACUUUUUAAAAUGUCUCUUUUCUUUUUAGAUAACUUUUUUUUUUUAUGACAGGUUUAAAACCAAAUGAUUAAAGGACAUUUUGAUAUAUUAAACAUAUAUUUUACUUAAGACUACAAAAUUCAAUUUUUUUUUUUACUUUCGUAAACUCUAUGUCAAGUUAAAUAGGACAAACGAAUUAAAAUUGAGAGGGUAUAAAAUAAUAAUGGUACAAUAAAUUGUAUCGUUUUGUUUCGUGUUUGGUUAUCUAUUUUUAAUUAUAGAAUAUAUAUAGUUAUAUUGUAAAAUUCUCUGUAUUAUUUUUAUACCAAAUUCAAUGCGAUAGAACAAUUCUAGGAUUAGCUAUGUAUGACAAGUGAGACUUGCUCAAGUGGUUGGGCGUCUUCACUAUCAACUGGUAGAUUGAGAUUUGAGGGUUCGAGUUAUACUAAAGGAUAAAGUAAGAACAUUCUUUUUGUGUAGGGUAGCUUAGGGAGAAAAAAAACAGUAUUUCACUUUUAGGUGAUUUAUGAACAGUUAGAAAAAAAUCUUACUUUUUAGGCUACUUAUGAGUCAUCAUGGAAACUCGAAUUUCUUAUAGUAUUUGUGUGCGUGUGUAGUUUGCUUUAGAAGAUAUCAGAGCGAAAUUUUACAUGAAAACACCUUUGAAUAUGAAGGAAUGCUAUACAUAGAUGUCAAAGUAAACCAUGAUUAAAAGAGUAUUUUGGACAUUACAACAAUGUGUUUGUGCUUGUGAGUUACUAUAUAGGGAUAAGUCGUAUUGUUCUUAUUUUGAAAACUUAUCCUUUCGGAUCACAAUAUGUUUGUUCAUACAUUGCUCAACCUUACCGACAAAAUAUUAAAUUUCGUCCAAUGUUUAUAAUAACUAACAAAUUUCAGUUUGUUCAAAAGAAAUCUUUAAAUCAUAAUUUAAAAGGUCCCUAAUUUACGGUAUGAAUAAAAAGAGGGUCAUUUACUAUUAAGUUGUCUCUAAAAGGGACAACCCAAGAAAAUUACACAAAAGCAAUCAAACCCGGCCUUGAUUCCAAGUCCAUUUUGACAGCUCUACUUCAAACCUUUUUCCCAAAGUACACAAACCAAAAUUAGCUAAAACAUGAUUACCAAAACAUAUAUUGGAUCUCAUUAUACAUUUGUUAAUCAGACUACUGCACAAGUUAAGAUAAAAUUGAAAUCUUUACACACAACAAUUAAUGUGCAUGAAGCUGCCAAGCCAUUGAUGAACUAAUAAAAUUGGCAAUGUGAGUCCCACAUAUAGCCAUUAUAUACACACACACACAUUAUUUUCACAAAGUGAGAAACCACUCAAUAAGCAUUUGAUCUCUUUCUCUUUUUCCUAGAGAAUAGAGUAAGACUUUAAUAUCGUUCGUUUGUUAGAAUUAAACGCUUAUUAUCAUAUGAACGAAAAUGGGAGGCGGUGGCAAUAUGUCUUCUCGAACAACUAAAGAUUCAAAAAAGAAAAAUCCUCUCGAAAGAGUUCCAUCUUCGAAACCUCCUUUUACAGUUGGUGACCUCAAGAAGGCCAUUCCUCCUCACUGUUUUCAACGAUCUCUCAUUCGCUCGUUUUCCUAUGUUAUUCAGGAUCUCAUACUUGUCUCCGUCUUCUAUUAUAUUGCCACCACUUACUUCCACCUCAUUCCUUCCCCGUAUAAUUAUCUAGCAUGGUCUGCUUACUGGAUCGUUCAAGGUUGUGUUUGUACCGGAAUAUGGGUCAUUGGCCAUGAGUGUGGUCACCAUGGCUUUAGUGAUUACCAAUGGGUAGAUGACAUUGUUGGCUAUAUCCUCCACUCUGCCCUUUUAACACCCUACUUUGCAUCGAAACAUAGUCAUCGUCGUCACCAUGCCAACACAGGUUCCCUUGAGAAUGAUGAAGUUUACUUACCUAGUUUUAAAUCAAAACUAAGAUGGUACUAUAAAUACUUGAACAAUCCACUAGGACGAGUACUCGUACUUGCCUUCACCCUCACUUUUGGCUGGCCUUUAUACUUGAUGUUCAAUAUCUCCGGCAAAAAAUAUGACCGUUUUGCAUGUCAUUACGAUCCAUAUAGCCCAAUAUAUACUGACCGUGAAAGGCUACAAAUCUACAUCUCAGAUGCAGGUAUUCUUGCAACAACUUAUGUGUUGUAUCGCGUUGCUUUGACACAAGGGGUAACUUGGCUUGUAUGCAUCUAUGGAGUGCCCCUUGUAAUUAUGAAUGGAUUUAUAGUUUUGAUAACUUUGUUACACCACACUCACGCUUCAUUGCCACAUUAUGAUUCAUCGGAGUGGGAUUAUCUAAGAGGGGCUCUAGCUACGGUAGAUAGAGACUAUGGUGUGCUAAAUAAGGUGUUUCACAAUGUUACAGAUACUCAUGUUUUGCAUCAUAUAUUCUCAUACAUAUCACAUUACCAUGCAAUGGAGGCAACUAACGCUAUCAAACCGUUGCUUGGUGAAUACUAUCAAGUUGAUGAUACCCCAAUUUUAAAGGCACUGUGGAGGGAUACCAAGGAUUGCAUCUAUGUUGAAAAAGAUAGAGGUUCUCAUCAAGGCAAAGGUGUUUACUGGUAUAAAAAUAAGCUUUGAAAUUAAGUAGAAUACCAUUACUUGGAAUUGGUUAAAUGUUACUACUAUUGUAUUGUUUAUGUCCAUCGUUACAUUAAUAAAGAUUCCUGGUUCUCUAUGUUGUCUUCGAUUUGGAAAUUCUUUAUUCAUGAGUUCACUCUGAUAUUGUAUACUCCCGAUUAUUUGAAGAAAUUAAAUGUACAAUUCGAUAAUAGAUACAUCAGUGGUUCAGUUAAUUAGUCUAUUGAUGUAACUAUAAGAAGAAAAUAAAAUGUUCAUUUUUAACCAGGCCAAGUAUCUGUUGGAUUGUCAAAAGGCAUCUCUGAAGAAGCAUAAGCUUGACCUCCGAGUACCCGAUUCAGACUAGCAACUGAAGAGAUGUUAAUAACAGAUCCUCUACACUCUAUUAACAUCUUAAUUUCAUCAGCCAUAUAUAGUGUUGGCAGCUUAACUCCUUUUUAUCCAUGUUAAAUUUGAAAAUUAUUAGUAUACAUUAUUUGAGUUGUAAAUCAAAUCGAUUCAUAUGUAUAAAUGUAGUAGUCGUAAAUAGAUUUAUUCUUCACCAGUGAAACAUAUAGUAGUAUUUUUCUAACAGUUGUGUACUCUACUAUAAGAAAUACGUAGUAUGUUGUGAACCCGAUGUGACUUGGUAAGGGCCUAUGGGCUAUUAGAUACUUUUAUUUGGGGAUCCAGGCCCAAUUAGUGUCUCUAUUAAAAAGGACUAGAAGUUAGAAGAAGGGGCCUGGAAAUUAUGUGAAGCUUUGGCUUUCUGAUCCUCUCAUCUCCUUUCUAUGGUCUAGUAUCUCAUCCCCUUCUAGUUACCUUCGUCUAUGUUAAGCUAUUCGUAAUUAGUGUGUUAUUACUUUGUUGUGCGUAUUCUAUCUUGUAACUUGUAUUCAGUAAUUAAUAUAUAUAAGAGUGCUUCUGUUGGAAUUCAGUUUGUUACAUAGUAUCUAAAUUUAUCCUCUGUUAUAUUUUGGGGCUAGCUAUUGAUGCCCUUGUCAUGAGUAGCAAAUCAUUCGACCUAACCGAUAUUUAAGGCUGAUGAAUUUAAGACAUGUAUACUUGGCCUAGUUAACAAUUCCUUCCCAUUUUUCAUUUCAUACCAAAAAAAGUAGCUAUUUAUUUUAUUGCAUAAUGACGGAUUUAACAAUACAUUAGUGACAUUAACAAUAAAACAAAAACACCCAAUUCAAAAUACUUUUUAUAUUAAUCAGAUUUUACAAGGACAAACAAGUUAUUCCAUCCGUCUAAAUCUAUAUGCCACCAUAAGAAUUUCGAAAUUCAAUCAUCUAAAUUUUAAUUAUAAAUUCAAACAUAGAAAUUUAAUCAAUAUUUUUUAAUCGACUCUCGAAAUUCCAAUGGUAUCCGUGAACAUAACGAAGGAGUAUUAGAAAUAGUGAAAUAUAAAGCUUACGUAAGAGACAUGAUGCAAGUCUUUUCACAUUCAAAUAUCCUACUAUUUGCCAAUAUACUAAUAAUUAGCCUGUUCACCUUCUCAUAUACUCUUCACAUUUCUCAAUGCAAGUAAAGCCAAGCCCCUUUUGUUUCACUAUUUCAACUUUCAUAGAAGAAGAAGAGUGUAAAGCCAUGAGUCCAACAACUAGAGCUAAGAAAAUUAAACUAGAAGAAGAUAAAGAAUUAAGUAGAAUAAAUGAUUUGUCACAAAGGCUAAAAAAUCUUGAAGCUUUUAAUGAGAUCAAUGACUUUACUAAUCAGCCUGAUUCACUUCGUCGUAGUGUUCGAUUACAAUACUCUCUUAUUAGAACCAUUGUUGAUGGUAUUUGUAAUUUUUUUUUACACUUUUUAUGCCAUUGAUUUACCUACAAUUGUUUUUAUUUUUUUUUGUUUUUUGGGGUUUUCUUGAAAUGCAGAGACAAGAUGUGAACUUGGAGCUGCAGGAUCAAAUAAGUUCAACAUUGUGUUGAAUAGUGUUCAGGACUUGUAUCUCAAUGGUAUAUUUUAUUAGCUUUCUUAUAUAUGUUUGUGAACGGGAGCUUUGGCGUAACUAGUAAAGUUGUUGCUAUGUGAAUCAUGAGUUUGAGCUGUAGAAAAAACCUCUUGUAAGGUUAGGUACAAUAGACCCUUGUGGUUUGGCCCUUCUCCUGGUCUGUGCAUAGCGGGAGCUUAGUGCAAUGGACUGACCUUUUAUGUAUGUGUGUGUAUUCAUGUACUUUUGACGUCCUAAUUUAUGUGAUGCACUUUGAUUCGGACAUGAAGUUUAAGAAAGAAAGAUUUUUUUUCUUAGAACUUUUGGUUUAGGAACAAGCCAUUGAUAUUUGGAAUUUUAAAGUUAAAUUCUUUCUAAACUAUAUUGAAAGAAGUUGGUUUUCUUGAGACAAAGUAAAAAAAGAAAGUGCGUCAUGUGAAUUUGGAAAGAGGGAAGGAAAGUGGUCUUUUAUGUGUUUGGAUACCUCCUCUAUGCUUCUUUCUUGUGGCAUAAUUUAGAAAGGGGUAUCACCUGACAUUGCUUUGCGAAAAGUGUUUUUCCAUGUAUGUAUAUGUAAAGAACAAUGCGGAUAUAUGAAAUAGGUGAUCUCGUCUCAUUUUCAUUAUCCUACUCUCGAUGUUGUUCCAAAAUAGGCUACGAUUUCUGUUCUUCGAUAAGGUACAAUUUUUGGUUUGUUGCUUGAAGUACUACUCUCCAAGGUGUGCUCAACUUUACUCUUGACUCACUAAGCUAUAAAUGUGAUUUCAUAAUGUGUUAUCUCAAUAUCAAUGGCCACGUGAAGUUGCUGCAACAAAUUGUUAUGUAUUUUCCCCUGCUUCUCUCUCUUGGUAUACUUUAUAAUGUAUGGUUUUCCAGUUAAGAGGCCAAGAGAGCAAGUGGCGGAUGCAGAGGCCUUGCUCGGACUUACCAAUACUGUUGUGGAAUCUCUCCAAUUACGUCCCAAUUGUAGUAUCUCACCUUCUAUAUUCAUCUCUUGGUUGCUUCAAGUCUAUGGUUUACGAAAAGGACGUUCAAAGAAUGCAAUGGAACAUUUCAUCAUUGGGAAGUCACUAAAAACUGUGAAUUGGGAAAAGAUUGGAGCUGAUGCUUCACUCGUGUUUAUGGAAGGCAAAGGUUGCAAGACAAUGUAAGAUUUUCAUUUCUUUACUAAUGAAUUUGAACAGAACAAAGAAAAAUAAUGUAAUUAUGUUUAAUCUGUUGAGUGCUUUCGGCUCGUUCUCAGGCUUGGAGUUCUGAAAACUGAAUUUAAGCCAACGAAGCAGCUUGUAGUUUAUCAUUCUUAUCCAAAAGAGAUUGUGGUUUACAGGAGAUUGCCUCCGAGAAAGGUCUACCUUACUCGGCCAAAAUUGGUAUGGUCAUUUCCCCUAUGCAAUCUUUUGAGAUUGCAGCUUCCAUAUGCAUUUUGAAGAAAACUAAAGCCGAGGCCAUCGAUUGUGUUUGCCACUCUUUUUACGUUGUUUGGUUGAUAAAUGAUCUUCCAUUUUCCGAGUCUUUUUUAUAGGUUGCUGGUGAAACUGUCAAGGACAAACCUGAUGUUAGCAAGAAUAUGUCAAACAUAUCGGAGCUCUUAAAGGAGAAGAAAAGUGUCAUGCUUGACGAACUCUUUCUAAUGAGAAAUUCCUUUGCUCAUACCGUCGAGAAUUUGUUUGCACUUUCUUUUUUAGUACACGAUGGGCAGGCUUCAAUCUCUGCUGAUGAAACUGGUUCUCGUUUCGCUUGCAAGAUAGGUAAAUUCACUCUGCCAUUCUGGAUGAGAUAUUCUACUAUGACAUUAAAACUAAAAGCAUAUCACGAGUUAUUUCACGUAUAUGAUCAUUGAACUUUAUUCUAUCUGUUCGCUUGUACCUUUCUGCUUUUAUUCCUUUCUGAAUUGUAAUAUGAUGAAUCACUUCUCCAGUUCCGCGGAGCAUUACACAUCGUGGAGCUGUACGCCACCAGUUUAUCCUGAGAUAUGAUUACUGUUAAAGAAUGACAAAAGUCCCACAUCGGUGAUUAAUGAGAUGAGUGGACUCCUUAUAAGGCUUGGGCAAUCCUCCUCCCUUUGAGCUAGCUUUUGGGGUGUGAGUUAGGCCUAAGACCUAAUUUAACAUGGUAUCAGAGCAGGGCCCGUCUCACCCGAUGUUGGGACCCCCAAAAUCAAAAUUGCCCAUGCGCCAGAUGCUAAGCACUGGGCGUGACACUGGACGUGAGGUGGGGUGUUAAAGAAUGACAAAAGUCCCACAUCGGUGAUUAAUGAGAUGAGUGGACUCCUUAUAAGGCUUGGGCAAUCCUCCUCCCUUUGAGCUAGCUUUUGGGGUGUGAGUUAGGCCUAAGACCUAAUUUAACAAUUACAAUGAUUGGAAGGUAUUGUAACGUUAAUAUAGUGUCAAGUAUUUGAAUUCGGAAUAUUCAUUAGUAUCAUUUUUUGUAUUUUUUGUUGUACUCUCCUUCCUUCACUUGGAUGCUUAUGUUGACCAUGUUAAACUGUCUGCAGCUGAUGCAAACUUUAGUACCAGAAGGAGCAGAGCUAACGCCAAAUAGGGAAUGAAGGCUCGUUCUGAUAUGCUUCACCUCUAACUAUAUGACUGAAAGGAACAACUGCUAUGGAGUAGAUGUCACGAGCUGUCGUUUUGUACAAUAUCUGGCUGUGAGGUGAAGCGAUACAUGAAACGAUCUGCACAUGAAGUAGGUAAAAUGGCGUGUUUUUUGUAUAUUAUCAGCUCUGGAAACUGGUCAAUAUAUCUUUUGCGUAAAUAGUAUGAUUACAUGUCUAUGUACUAAGCUGAUCCAUCUCUCUUCUGGGAAAAUGCCCUGUUUAUAAGUAAAUCAUUUUAAGCUGUGCAAGCUGAUAUAUUACUAUAAGUUCUGUAAGGUGAUAUGCCUAUUAAUUACGAUAGUCUUUCAUGACUGAAUUCUCCUAGAAAAAUACUCGGUAACCUUGAGAAAUUAACGCUAACUGGCACUCAAAGUUUUGGCCUAGCGGUCAAUGAUGUAGGUCGAGAAUCAUGAGAUUUCAGGUUUUGUUCAAACUCUAUUAAUUAAGAUAUAUUCUGCUUCGAGAAUUGAGCAAUAUACUUAAACCUCUACAAGGUAACAAAACAAACGAACUAUCGUUGAGAAUCAUGAGAUCUCAGGAUCAUAUUGUAUAUCUCUCAAUAAGCAAAACGAUGAGAUAAAAUUCUACGUCUUCAUGAGCUAAUCUUAGAGAGAUGAGAAAAUUGGAACAGUUGGUAAGGUAGCUCCAGCAUCAACAAUGAAAACAUUGCCAGCUACAUAUUCUGAGGAAUCAUGGAUUAAGUACCGAACGACUGAUGUUAAUGCCGGAUCUGUUGUUCCAAGAGUUCUUAGAGGAAUGGUUCUUAAAGUAACAUUAUUGAACCAUUCUUUUUCCAUAAGACUCUUUGUUAUCGCCAUAAUCUGAUAUUGUCUACUCCCAAUUCAAGUGCCAUAAUCUGCCAUUCAAUUAUUAGUUAUGUUACCAUAACAUAGAAGAAAACAAUGGAAAACAAAGAUACUAACUAGCUAGCUACCUUAGUGACCAUGUUAAGAGCUAUCUUCGAAGAAGCGUAAGCAAGAAACCCCGGUAAUUGUCCUUGAUUCAGACCAAGAACUGAAGAGAUGUUAAUAACAGAUCCUCCGCCCUGUUUAGCAUCACGCAUAUGUCUACAUAUAUAUUUUGACACCAACCAUGCCCCUCUGAGAUUCGUCUUGAAGGUAUGUUCCCACUUCUCCUCUGACAAUUCCAAUGAAGAACUUACACUACCUAUACAAAGUACUAUAUCAGAUUAACCAUGUAUAAUUAUUUGUUUUUGCCCUAUUUACACAGUAUAAUUUUUCGAUGAAGGAGAUUCAAUUGAAUUAAGCUGGCAAUGUAUGUUCAAUUAUAUACCUAUAAUGCCUGCAUUGUUAACCAAGGCAUCAAUGUGUCCGAAUUCGUCCCAAGCUAACUUUACAGCAGCUGCAAUAGUAGCACCAUCAGCAGUGAUGUCGAGCUGGAUGGCGACUGCACGCUUGGCCGGGCUGUCCAAAUUAUUAAUCUCAUGGCAUAGAGAUGUCAGCCUGUCAACACGACGGGCUGCAGCAAUGAUCCUGCAGCCGGCUUUCGCCAAGUUGAGACAGAACUCUAGCCCGAUUCCCGGAUGACGCCCCUGUCACCAUCACUACUUUUGCACUCAGGUUUGUCCAUGGCUCCAUUUAACUUAGGUAUGUCUGGAGUUAGUGUAAUGUGAUAAUGCAGAGAUUUAUAACAGAUUGAAUUAAAAGGAGAAUAAAUUCAUAUAAAAGGGAUUUACUAACUUUUUUGAAUAAACAUAAUAUUGCAUGUGGGAUAUAAGGAUAAGACCACUGAACAAAGUUAUAGUAAUGAAAAAAAAAAUGGAAUCUAAAGUACAUGAAUAAUAGUGCAUAUGCAGAGGUCUGUUCACCUCUUGCAUAAAAUUACAAAAGAGUGACAAUUUCAAAGUCCCUUUUUGCAAUUGGUGACACCAAGAAGGCCAUCCUUCCUGCUUUCAACGAUCUCUCAUUCGCUCAUUCGGUAUCUGUGUGGAUACAUUAGGUUGAAUCCAUAAGGAUGAACAUCCUAGUGUUGCUGAUGGAAGAUUAUUGUAAGCUUAAUGUUAUCAUUUUCCCCCCUUAUGAUAGUGGUAUCCGAGCUAGCGUAUAUGCAUCUCAACUAAUUCCACAGGGUACCUACUACCUCCCACUAGUACAAGUACCAAGUAAUUUUGUACAUCGUGGCUUGGGCAAAUGAGAAGGAAUAACCUCUGGAAUAUGAACUUGAGACCUCAUGGUAGCUUAAUGUAAUCACUAUGGAAGGCUUUAGAUGAAAUCUAAAGCAUGGACAAUACAGCUGAUGCUUCACUCGUGUUUAUGAAAGGCAAAGGUUGCAACACAAUGUAAGAUUUUCAUUCAUUUAACAUGGAAGAAGAGAACAAAGAAAAUGUAAUUUUGUUUAAUUUGGUGAUUGCUUUCGGCUCGUUCUAAGAUUGCAGUUUCCUUAAUAUAAUUUCCUUGUAUGUUUUCAUAUUUUUAUUCCUGUGUCUAUUAUAAUAUGCUUGAAAUUACUAAAACGGAGAAAAUGAGAACAUGAUUCAAGUGUAGUUACUAAUCUUGUUUUUUCUAAAUGGAUGUGAAAAGAGCUAAAGCGACAAUUAAAAUGGGACAAAGGGAGUAAUACCUAUAGAAGUAUGUAUGAUCUCUUAGCUUUAUAAUAAGCAGCAUUAUUGGGAAUCUAGUAGCUCUUAGACAUAAUAAUGUUAAGACAGGCAAUAAACUACUCAGAAGUAAAUUGAAAAUUUAACAAGUCAAGUUAUAAUAACAAAUUAAUCCAUAAAAAUAGGAUAUGGUGGGUUAGGGAAAGGAUUUAAUUAUUUCAUGACAUAGAUGUAAGUUCAUGAGUCAUGAUCAGUACUGCAUGUGAUCAUCAAUAAUCAAACAAGUUGACAAAGUUUUAAUAAUGAAAAAACUGGAAUCUAAAGCACAUUACAACAACAAAAAGCGUGGCAAUAAAUUAUUCUUUUAGCGGCAAUAUUUAUUGCUGACAAACCAUUAGCCUCUCGUUCUCUAUUUCUAUAAAAGGGAGAGCAAGUGGGAGAGAGUAUACAACUUUCAUGUAAGGCUAAAAGAAGGUGUUGUUUCAAUCGAAAAAUAACUGUCUGAAACUUUGAAGCAAACUUAAUUGUUGCAGAAUCAGGACAAGAAUGGGAGCCAGUGGCAAUAUGUCUACUCCAACAACUAAAACUAACCAAAAGAGAAAUUCUCUCCAAAGAGUUCCAAUUUCAAAGCCCCCUUUUACAAUUGGUGACAUCAAGAAGGUCAUCCCUCUUCACUGUUUUCAACGAUCUCUCAUUCGAUCGUUCUCCUAUGUUGCUCGUGAUCUCCUACUAGUUUACAUCUUCUACUACAUUGCCACCACUUACUUCCACCUCCUUCCAUCCCCAUAUUGUUACCUAGCAUGGCCUACUUACUGGAUUGUUCAAGGUUGUGUUUGCACCGGAAUAUGGGUCAUUGCCCAUGAAUGUGGCCAUCAGGCCUUUAGUGAUUACCAGUGGAUAAAUGACACUGUCGGUUUUAUCUUCCACUCUGCACUUUUAACACCAUAUUUCUCAUGGAAAUAUAGUCAUCGUCGUCACCACUCCAACACUAAUUCCCUUGAGCAUGAUGAAGUCUACGUGCCCAGGCUUAAAUCCGAACUACGUUGGUUCUCCACAUAGUCGAACAAUCCACUAGGACGAAUUCUCCUACUUGUCGGCACCCUCACUCUCGGCUGGCCGUUGUACUUGGCCUUUAAUGCCUUAGGAAGACAUUAUGACCGCUUUGCAUGUCACUAUGAUCCAUAUGGACCGAUAUAUAAUGACCGUGAGAGGAUAUGGAUCUACAUUUCAGAUGCAGGUGUGAUCGCAACUACUUAUGUGUUGUAUUGCGUUGCUUGGGCACAAGGGCUAGCUUGGAUUGUAUGUAUUUAUGGGUUACCCCUCCUAAUUGUGAAUGGCAUCUUAAUAUUUAUGACUUUUUUGAACCACACUCACCCUUCAGUGCCACAUUACGAUUCAUCGGAGUGGGAUUGGUUAAGAGGAGCUCUAGCUACUAUAGACAGAGACUACGGUGUGCUAAAUAGGGUAUUCCACAAUGGUCCAAAUACUCAUGUUUUGCAUCAUCUAUUCUCAACCAUACCACAUUAUCACGCGAUGGAGGCAACCAAAGCUAUCAUGCCGUUACUAGGAGAAUACUACCAAUUUGAUGGUACCCCUGUUUAUACGGCAUUGUGGAGGGAGUCAAGGGAGUGCAUUUAUGUGGAGAAAGAUGAAGGACGUCAAGAUAAUGGUGUUUUUUGGUUUAAAAACAAGCUCUAAAAAAUGAAUACAAGAAUCUACUUACUUGAAGUAAUGUUUAUUUCGAUUGUAAUUUCCCAUCACUCCUUAAUGUACCUUGUAAUUCCGUCCCCCAUAAAAGGAAGAAAAAAAAAAAAACUUAUUUUGUCCAAUUUUAUGUUCAUUAUAUUAAUGACUGAUCCUGACAAGGCUAGAGUUAUUUAAGAAAGUAAGCACACAUUUAGAUCGAUCUGAUUGAACAAAAAAACAGACCAUAUGCUUAAAGCCUGAAGGUUCAAUGCACUUCUGUACUGUCCAUGUGCUAGCUUUAGAUUCCAUUUUUUCAUUAUUAAAAGGCUUAGUACUUACUUUCUGUUAAUUUGGUACUCAAACUAAUUCAGAUUCGUACCCAUUAAAGAAGGUAGUGAUCCUCCAUACUAGGAAUUUCUUAAUUUUCAAGGUUCGAACCCGAGACUUCUGGUUACUUUUGUUGGAAUAGAAUAUAGGGAUAAUACAUAUAUUGGACCUUAAACUUGGCUUCAAAUUUUAACUUUGACCUCCAACUUUCAUAGUGCACAAACANNNNNNNNNNNNNNNNNNNNNNNNNNNNNNNNNNNNNNNNNNNNNNNNNNNNNNNNNNNNNNNNNNNNNNNNNNNNNNNNNNNNNNNNNNNNNNNNNNNNNNNNNNNNNNNNNNNNNNNNNNNNNNNNNNNNNNNNNNNNNNNNNNNNNNNNNNNNNNNNNNNNNNNNNNNNNNNNNNNNNNNNNNNNNNNNNNNNNNNNNNNNNNNNNNNNNNNNNNNNNNNNNNNNNNNNNNNNNNNNNNNNNNNNNNNNNNNNNNNNNNNNNNNNNNNNNNNNNNNNNNNNNNNNNNNNNNNNNNNNNNNNNNNNNNNNNNNNNNNNNNNNNNNNNNNNNNNNNNNNNNNNNNNNNNNNNNNNNNNNNNNNNNNNNNNNNNNNNNNNNNNNNNNNNNNNNNNNNNNNNNNNNNNNNNNNNNNNNNNNNNNNNNNNNNNNNNNNNNNNNNNNNNNNNNNNNNNNNNNNNNNNNNNNNNNNNNNNNNNNNNNNNNNNNNNNNNNNNNNNNNNNNNNNNNNNNNNNNNNNNNNNNNNNNNNNNNNNNNNNNNNNNNNNNNNNNNNNNNNNNNNNNNNNNNNNNNNNNNNNNNNNNNNNNNNNNNNNNNNNNNNNNNNNNNNNNNNNNNNNNNNNNNNNNNNNNNNNNNNNNNNNNNNNNNNNNNNNNNNNNNNNNNNNNNNNNNNNNNNNNNNNNNNNNNNNNNNNNNNNNNNNNNNNNNNNNNNNNNNNNNNNNNNNNNNNNNNNNNNNNNNNNNNNNNNNNNNNNNNNNNNNNNNNNNNNNNNNNNNNNNAUGAGAAAUGUGGGGGUUCAGUGUAAAAUUUUAAAGCCAAGUUUAAGGUCCAAUAUAUGUAUUAUGCCUAGAAUAUAAGUAGGCUCUUCAUAAAUCUCACAAGACACAAAGAGAACAGAAGAGAGAGAUAGACUACUUAGCUAUUGCAUAAACCAACAACUGCCUCUCAAUCUUCUCUACCACAAGUGUUUUUCUAUGGAGCAAUGGAAAGACCUGACUGGAAAAGUAGUGAUGGUGACUGGGGCCUCCUCGGGAAUCGGGCUAGAGUUCUGUCUCGACUUGGCAAAAGCCGGCUGCAGGAUCAUUGCUUCCGCUCGUCGUGUUGACAGGCUGAAAACUCUCUGCAACCAGAUUAAUAUUAAUUCAGAGGGCCUGGCUCGGCGUUCAAUCGCUGUCCAGCUCGACAUCACUGCUGAUAGUGCUACUAUUGAGGCUGCUGUACAAAUAGCUUGGGAUGCCUUCGGACGUAUCGAUGUCUUGAUUAACAAUGCAGGCCUUAGAGGUAAUCUGAAAAUUUUAUUAUGUAAAUUAGUUGCUUAAAUUGUUACCAGGUUCAUUCUAACUUCUUUUUUUUUUUGGUUGUAUGUUAAUAUAUUUACAUAGGUAACGUGUACAAUUCAUUGGAUUUGCCAGAGGAGGAAUGGGAACAUAUCUAUAAGACGAAUCUAAGAGGGACAUGGUUGGUGUCAAAAUAUGUAUGCAGACAUAUGCGCGAUUCUAAACAGGACGGAGGCUCUGUUAUUAAUAUCUCUUCAAUUUCUGGUUUAAAUCGAGUACUAAUACCUGGGGGUCUUGCUUACGCUUCUUCGAAGAUGGCUCUUGACAUGGUCACUAAGGUAGCUAAGAUAGCUAGAGAUUUAUUUUUAUUUUUCCAAUUUUUUCUUCUAUGCUAUGGUAACAUAAUUAAUAAUUGAAUGGCAGAUGAUGGCCCUUGAGUUGGGAGUAGACAAUAUCAGAGUGAACUCAAUAUCACCAGGAAUUUUCAAAUCAGAGAUAACAAAGAGUCUUAUGGAAAAAGAAUGGUUCAAUAAUGUUACUGUAAGAACCAUUCCUCUGAGAACUCUUGGAACGACAGAUCCGGCUUUAACAUCAACCGUUAGGUACUUAAUCCAUGAUUCCUCAGAAUAUAUAUCAGGCAAUGUUUUCAUCGUCGAUGCUGGAACAACCUUAACAGGUGUUCCAAUUUUCUCGUCGCUCUAAUUAAAUUAGCUAGCUCAUGAAGCUAUGAAAACGUUGAAUCUCAUAAUUUGUCGACAUGAUGUAUUUCUUUUUGUACAAUUCUCAAAGUGAAAUGUAUCUUAAGACUGUUAAAAUAAGUUCCAUAUUGGUUGAGGGAAGUAUGGGUCAUAGCGUCUCUUUUCAUGAUUUCGGACAAUUUUUCCAUUUAUGAGUUGACUUAGAUCCAAUGGUCGUAUCUUCACAUAUGAUGUAAUGAACAAAUUCUCAGUAGAUACUCAUAGAUAUAUUCCAAUUACACAGUAGGUAAAGUAAAGGAUAGUAAGAACUAGAAAGAGAUAAGCCAAAGACGACUCAGAAAGGAGACAAAGGGAAUAUAGAUCCUUCCUAACAAUUGGCAUAAACCAUUCUUUCUCAUCCGUCGUCCUUUUAGCUAGUUGUCAAGUGGGCCUGAGUCCCAGAUCAACCUUUAUGAAAGCCUUCCAGUUUUAUUGCUUCUUCUUGGCCUAAUAACUAGUUGCGUUCAUGAUAUCAUAUCCAUGUAGGUAUCAACAUUGGGCCGAGACUAGGUCAUACCAGCAUCAGAGCCGAUUCAUGUUGCUGUGUUUCGUAAUGUUGAAACCCCCAUGUAAUAUUCUAGUUAUUAAAAUAUAAUCAUGAUUAUUCAAAUCAAAAGAUAUUGUACUACCAAUGCAAAUUUCAAGUUCAAACAAAAUCUUGAAUUUCCAAAAGAAAAAUGUGAUGCGGCAUUUUUUAGAGGCAAAAGACAUAUAUUGGUCUUUGAGUAUGCACAUCUAGAUACCCCGCGACUCACAUAAACUGAGACAAAGUGAGUAAUUAAUAUAGAUUACCUUAUCAUACACAUUAAAUCAAUAGAAUAUACUAAUAUAGAGAUUAGAAUCAUUUAUAUUAUACGUACUAGUUCUGGAACAGGUGCAACGCACGUGUAUACCAUGCUAAUUAGUAUAAAUACUUUUUAAAAUAUAAGUGUGAUAUGUGUAAAAUACAAGCUCGAAUCAAUGAAUGGUGAGCAUAUUCAACUUAUUAUCAUUGGAAGACACAUCAUACUAAAUAUUGUUAUCAAGUGAAUUUCAAAAAAAAUACUCAAACGACUUCAAAUAUGCAAUUAUUAUAAUAUAUCAAGUAUUCAACUUGAUAAUAGUUCUUGUUUUAAUAAGUCACAAUACAUAUGGUUGCAAAAUAUUUAAUGCCUUGAGGUUUCCACCUUCUUUUUAAGGAACAGUAGCCUCCACCUUUUAACAAACGCAUACAUAUCAAGAAGUUAUUGCAAAAUAUUUAAUGCCUUGAGGUUUCCACCUUCUUGUUAAGGAACAAUAGCCUCCACCUUUUAACAAACGCAUACAUAUCGAGAAGUUGUUGUCGAAUGAGAGUAGCGUUUUGUAAUAGUUGUAGAGAAAUUUGAUCCUCAUAUGUCUCCCUUAGGAUGGUUAGUAAAUCAUUAUCAAUUUCAUAGUGAACACCUACAAAAAUAUAUACUAUUUAUUUGUUAUAAACAUAAUCGUGUGAGUAUAUAAAUGACAUAUAUAUAUAAAUCAUAAUUACAUGUAUAUGUACCUUUUGUCUUCUUAGGCUCAUUCAAUAAUAUAAGUUUACCACCAUUCAUAUAAUUAAACAUCAAAUCAACAAAUCAAUUUUUUAUAAAACAAAAGCAUUUUCAUCAAAAUAAUAAUAAAAAAAAAGAACAAGGAAAAGUAUUACUUUACCAUAGUUAAAUUCAACUUCAACUGUUCAUAAAAUUAGAUACACACUGUAUGGGAUUAAGGUAUAAAUAGGAGAUAUUAGGAGAGGUGAAAAGACUUAUAGUAACUAAUUUGAAAUAUAAUAUUUAAUGUAAAAUUAUGUCCUUUUGGAUUCUUAAAUAUAGAACAUAAAUAAGAAAAAUAAAAAGAAAUCAAAAAGUAAAAAGUUUGUAACUGAUUUGACUAUAUUGUUUAAUGAGGAAUUAUGUCUUCUUGAUUUAUUAACGUGAAGAGAAUAUGAGCAGAUUUGGAUGAGUAGUGCAACUAUUUAAUAUUUAAAUACUUAAAUAUAUAAUAUUUUAAUUUAUCGUAGAUGCAAAAUGGUAAUUCAACUUUGAAGAUAGGACCUUACCAAGUUUUUAUCCAUUUAGAUUAGAUUAGAUUCAUAUUUUUUAUUAAAUGUCUUUGCAAUAAAAAAGUUUUUAUAUAUAUAGCACACCAACUUAAUACAUUAAUCAACGUCAGAAGUUCAAAAGUUUUAUCUACUCAUUGAUCAACGUAGAAAGCUCAAAAGUUUUACGAAGGUUGAAAUAUCAGAAUAUAACUUCUUAAUUAAUUCCCAAACAAACUUUCUAACUUAUUGGAAGAUGCACAUUUAUUAUAUUGUAUUUAUAUUUGAUAUGAUUGUUGUUUAGUAUUUUAAUUAAUUAAAUAUAAUAUUUUAAUUUAAUGAAAGGGUAAAAUGGUAAUUCAACUUUUGCACUUCGAACCUUCCCACUUUUAGUAUUAUACGUAUUAACCACGUUGGAAUUGAAAAUUGUAACCAAACAUUGAAUGCAAACUGACAAGAUUAGGGUUAUUUAAGAAAGUAAGUAGAGAUUUUGAUCUGAACAAAAGAUUAAUUCCAUAAUUGAGAAAGUAAAUUUAAAUAUUCUUUUGUGAUCUGUUAAGAGUAAUUAAUUUUUUAAAGAUAUAUGACUAAUCUUGUGGUGUCAUACAAUAGAAAAUUAAAGUAUUUAAUUAUCUCAAAAUCUGUACUUCGUUUCUUAAAAAAACUCUAGACUUUGCAAUUUUGUAAAGAAGGUAUGCAGAAAAUUUCUAUUUUUCGAAUUUACUCAAGUCUCUAUUGUUGCACAUUUCAGGAUUGAAAAAGCAGGACAGUGAUAUGUCGUCUGAUAAAAGAAAAAUCGAGUGUGGUCUGAUAACAACAAGGUCCUCCGAUCCUUUUCAACGAUCUCUUGUUCGUUCCUUCUCCUAUCUUGUUCAAGAUCUCAUCCUUGUCUCCGUCUUUUAUUAUAUAUAUAUUGCCACCGGCCACUUAAUUUUGUUACCUAGCAUGGCCUAUUUACUGGAUUGCUCAAGGUUCUGUUUUCACUGGAAUAUAAAUGACACUACUGAUUUUAUCCUCCACUCUGCACACUUAACACCAUGUUUCUCAUGGAAAUAUACUCAUCGUCGUCACCAAUCCAACACUAGUUCCCUUGAGCAUGAUGAAGUGUAUGUGCCCAGGCUUAAAUCCCAAGUAACGUGGCUCACCAAGUAUUUGAACAAAAAUCCACUACUAGGACGAGUAUUCGGACAUGCCACCACCCUCAAUCUUGGGUGGCCUUUGUACUUGAUCUUCAAUGCCUCUAGCAAACCUUAUCGUCGCUUUGCAAGUCACUAUCAUCCACAAUAUGGACCGAUUUAUAAUGAUUGUGAGAGGCUACAAAUCUAUAUAUAUAUUUCAGAUACAGGUGUGAGUACAACAACUUAUGUGUUGUAACGCGUUGCUUUGGCAAAAGGACUAACUUGGCUUGUAUGUGUCUAUGGAGUGCCCCUCCAAAUUAUGAACAUUUUCAUAGUGUUAAUAACUUUUUUGCACCACACUCACUCUUUAGUACCACAUUAUUAUUCGUCCAAGUGGGAUUAACUAAGAGGAGCUCUAGCUACGGUAGAUAGAUACUUUGGUGUACUAAAUAAGGUCUUCCACCACAUUACAGAUACUCAUGUUUUGCAUCAUCUAUUCUCAACGAUGUCACAUUACCAUGCACUCGAGGCAACCAAAGCUACCAAACCAGUACUAGGAAAUUACUACCAAUUUGAUAGUACCCUUGUUUAUAAGGAAGGUAUUAUGGAGGGAUUAUAAGGAGUGCAUCUAUGUGGAAAAGGAUGAAAGAUCAAAAGAUAGAGGUAUUGUUUGGUAUAAAAACAAGAUGAAUUAAAAAUCGAUUUGGUUAAAUGUUAAGCAUGAGUCACAAUACGUAUUUUGAAUUUAGGUGUUGUUUCCUAUCAUUUUAUUAUGUAUCGUUUUCAUAACGUAUUAUAUUUGUACUACAUAAUGUGGUUGAAAUACAGUGUUCUGAUAGACCAUAUUAUUUAUUUAUUGUCGUUGAAUCCCUCUUAAUUUGAAUUCAUUGUGUGACAUCCGUGUAGGUAUUAACAUUGGGUUGAAUACAGUGUUCUGAUAGACCAUAUUAUUUAUUUAUUGUCGUUGAAUCCCUCUUAAUUUGAAUUCAUUGUGUGACAUCCGUGUAGGUAUUAACAUUGGGUUGAGACUAGUGUUGGGACCGCGCGUACCACCACCCUAACUCCACAUUAGUAUUAUUUUGUCCACUUUGGGUCAAGUCCUCACGGAUUUGUUUUUGGGCACAUCCCAAAAGGCCUCAUACUAAUGGAGUUGGGUGAGCACUUAUAUAUUGGUACAUUUCUUCUUCUCCAUCCGAUGUGGGAUAGGUUUGUUACCCAACAACUAGUUCAUAACAGUAUCAGAGCCAGACCCACUGAUUCUUGUUACAGUAUUUCGUAAUGUUGAAACAUCUAUGUUAUGUUAUCCACACUCUAGUUUCAUGUCCUGAUCGAGUGUGUUUGGGAAAAAUAUGAAGUCCCACGCUAGUUAAGGGUAUGUGUUGUGGUCUCCUAACAAGGUUUUGUUAAGUGCAAAUUUAAUGUUUAUCUUCAAUAUAAUCAUAUGAUUAUAAAGAUCAAAAGAUAUUGUAUUACCUUUUUUUUUGUGUGUGUGCUUUAAUAUGACCCAUAGGGCCGAUUUUAUUAAUUACGCAUAGGAAGAAAACAUUUCAACACUGUCUGGCUGGCCCAGCAGUGGCCAACCACCAAAAUCUAAUCAAUAAACAACAGUAUGGGGACUCUACAAAUUAAACAACUAGAUAAAGUUAUAAUAAUGUCAAAUUUAUUAUCUUGAAUGUAGACUGGAUGGGUAAAGAUGACUUAGUAAUUAUUUCAUGACAGAUGUUGGUGAUCACAACACUGAGUUUCACCAUGGAAGUGAACUCAAUUCAGAUCUCAAAGAGAAUGGACAAAAGGUGAGGGACAAAGUCGGAUUAUCUCUCAUUUUUUAUUCUCUUUCCUGUUUCUUGAAAUCAUCUCAACCUUUGAUCACAAUCAGAUCUUAUUUUCAUCAAACUCAUCUUGAUCGUUCAUUUCGGAAUCAUGACAGCUGUCCAAAGAACAUUUCAGAUGUAUUCCAUUAUAUAUGUAGAUAAUUGUUUUUUAUUUAUUUUUAUACAUUUUACAAUUAGUCAAUUAGAGAGAAACAAAAAUAAGAGAAGGACAACUGGUAGUAUAGUAACAGAUUUAUUCCUUUUGUUUUGUAUAAAUGCACAUGUACAGUUUGAAUGAAAUUUUUCUCUAUUGCUUUCUUUCUCUUCCAAUAAUAUGUAACAAAUAUGGAAUCUGUACCUACUUUCUUCAAUAAACUCUAGACUAGAAAAUUUUGUAAAAAAGUAUUUUCCUAAAGAAAGUUUCAAUUUUAUAUCAAGUUGUUGAAGUAGUAGUUGAAAAAGCAGGACAACAAUAUGUCGUCUGAUAAAACAGAACAGAAGAAAAAUGGAGUGUCGUUUUCAAAGCCUCCUUUUACAAUUGGCGAUAUCAAGAAGGUCAUUCCUCCUCACUGCUUUCAGCGAUCUCUUGUUCGUUCCUUCUCAUAUCUUGUUCAAGAUUUCAUCAUUGUCUCCGUAUUUUAUUAUAUUGCCACCACUUACUUCCACCCCCUUACGUCUCCGUGUUGUUACCUAGCAUGGCCUAUUUACUGGAUAGCUCAAGGUUGUGUUUUAACUGGAAUAUGGAUGAUUGGCCAUGAAUUAGGCCACCAGGCCUUCAGUGAUUACCCCUGGAUAAAUGACACUAUUGGUCUUAUCCUCCACUCUGCACUUUUAACACCAUACUUCUCAUGGAAAUAUACUCAUCGUCGUCACCACUCCAACACUAGUUCCCUUGAGUAUGAUGAAGUUUAUGUGCCAAGGCUAAAAUCCCAAGUAACAUGGCUCACCAAGUAUUUGAACAAAAAUCCACUAGGACGAGUAUUCGGACUUGCCACCACCCUCAAUCUUGGGUGGCCUUUGUACUUGACCUUCAAUGCCUCUGGCAGACCUUAUCCUCGCUUUGCAAGUCACUAUCAUCCAC